UACGGGGGGGGGCAAGCGUUUGUUCGGAAUUACUGGGCGUAAAGGGCUCGUAGGCGGCCAACUAAGUCAGACGUGAAAUCCCUCGGCUUAACCGGGGAACUGCGUCUGAUACUGGAUGGCUAGAGGUUGGGAGAGGGAUGCGGAAUUCCAGGUGUAGCGGUGAAAUGACGUGAGAUAUCUGGAGGAACACCGGUGGCGAAGGCGGCAUCCUGGACCAAUUCUGACGCUGAUGAGCGAAAGCCAGGGGAGCAAAGCGGG
rnacentral:rRNA from 1 species